UGCGGCACUUCCAGCGCUUCUGAUCGCCGCCCACAUCCACGUAGUAGCUGUCGUCCACGUGCACGUUCAGCUUUUCCGGUUUGCUGGCUUCUUGGCUCCUGCGGCGAAACCUUGUGGCUUCGGUGGUGUAGAAGGGGUUCGGAGAGAGAUGGAGGAACGGGAACGGGACCAGACUGGGAUGGAAAGAAGUGAAGUAGGGAGCAGGAGAGCGCAGGAGUAAUGGAGGCGACGGAGGCCACAGCGGCAGAGGCUUCACCGUCUCCUGCUUCACCUGGAUCACGCGAUGGAGACGCAGCCGGUUCAGGUCGAUUGUAUCUGGGACGAAUCGGUGCGGCUGAGGCACGACGGGGUAGAAGGGGAGAAGAGAAAGGUCUACGCUUCUUCUCGAGAAGUCCUCUGGACGCUUGCGUUCGCUCUCAGUCGGAUCCAUGCUGGAGGUUUCUACACGUUCAGAUCACAAGUAUGAGUACCUUCGCAGAGAAGGAAGGAAGGGAGGGAGAGGAAGUCAACAAGCCUGUGCUUUCCUGCACAAAAAUAAGGAAACACUAGAUACACAUCUCCAUUCCUCUUCGAAACGCAUUCGCACUGUAGAUCACACACCAGACAUACGAGAUCUGAGCCGGCCAGCCUCUGAUUUCUCCAUCAUGCACUGAUUUAAGAUGUAAUGUUAGGAGCAAACCACUCUGACCGAUGACCUUUGACCCAUAGCCAUAAUUCUACACCACUGUCCUAUUUAAAAGUCACUGUGUUUUAUCGAGGACAGCAUCAGUUUAACAUGUCUGAUGAAUGCUUUUUAGCAUGUUCUUCUAUUGCAGUGAACAGAUGAUAAUGUAUUUCUACACAAAUCAAACAUACAUGAGUGCAGACAUUCUGCAAAAAAUGGCAAAAAAGCUGUAUUAUAUACAAGUAUAUGGCUUGUUUAAAUCUGCAAAGACAAAAACAAACAAACUUUAUAUACGUACUUUAAGAGGCAAGAAAAUAAAUUUUGGAUAAAUUCAAAAU
ensembl:lncRNA